UUUUUCUCAAUCUCAUCAGCGUUCAAAAUCAUAAAGGUAUGCUAAAAAGCGUUUUAUGGGAAGCUCGAAAUUAGCUUAGAAACACCUGACCUUUAACUAUAGUAAAGGAAAAGCUGUAGAUACGCUUGGUACCUGCACAUACGUUUAUUAAAGGUAUUUUUCUAGCGUCUUUGAAAUACUAUUAAUAAUGGACGAAUUCCUUAAUUUUCAUAGUGAAUUUACUUCCCUUUGUUUCCUUAAUUCCUUAAAUUUACUUCCCUUUGUUUUCCGAAUUUAUAAAAAAUAUUUUUUAUCCGGCAUGAUUAGCGCUGAAGAUAAUUUUAUGAGAUGUUGUUUUCUGAUAUUUUUUAUCGGGCAUGAUUAGCGCUGAAGAUAAUUUUAUGAGAUGCUUUAUUUGGGUGGACUGUUGCAAUUUUCUUUUUAUUUUGGUAGCUAUGAAGUAUUGCUUUUUAUUUUCUUUAGUAUCACUUGCUAAAUAUAUUGCUAAUUUUCUAAAUUCUAGCUUAUUUAUGAAUGCUUCUGUUGAAGCACUGGCAUUGUGAGGAAUGGUGUUUACAGGGUUUCCUGCGGAAAAUGAAGUCACUUCCUAGCAUCCCCUUAUGCGCUUAACAGUUAAAAACAUUAUAUUUUCCUUCAAAUACCCUGGGCAUAAUCCAAUGUCUUGAAGAUAUUUCAUAAUCCGGGUCUAUAGACCGUACUAUUCUCCAAGUGGAAUGGGAAUGAUGAGUAGAAGGUUA